rnacentral:rRNA from 1 species
GUGCCAGCCGCCGCGGUAAUACGUAGGGGGCAAGCGUUGUCCGGAUUUAUUGGGCGUAAAGAGCGUGUAGGCGGCCAGGUAGGUCUGCUGUGAAAACUCGAGGCUCAACCUCGAGAUGUCGGCGGAAACCAUCUGGCUAGAGUCCGGAAGAGGAAAGUGGAAUUCCCGGUGUAGCGGUGAAAUGCGCAGAUAUCGGGAAGAACACCCGUGGCGAAGGCGGCUUUCUGGGACGGUACUGACGCUGAGACGCGAAAGCGUGGGGAGCGAACAGGAUUAGAAACCCGCGUAGUCC